AGGGUUUUCUAAUGAGUCCGAUGAGUGUACUAACUCUCUCGGUGGCAAGCCAAUGACUCUGCCGACGCUAAAUGGCUUCUGCUGUCUCUCAGCCUUCCCCCCCUCCCGACUAUUUUUCUCACUCUCCUUUUUUCCUUUCCCUCUUUUUUUCCCCCUCCACUCUCCGUCUGCCUCUCCACCUCAUUCUCAAUCUCAAUCUGCCCUUGUGUCGCUCCAUUCCUCCGACCCCCCCCCCCCACUUCCAUUUAUCCUCUCUCUCUGUCGCUCUCUCCCCAUCAUUACCUUCAACACCAUCCAUCUCUCAUCCUCAAUGCUCUCUCUCUCUUAUUGCCUCUGUCCCUGGUCUCUCCCCCACCUACCCCAUAAUGCUUCUUUAUGUCUCUUCAAACUAUUUGUGCCUUUGACUUUCUUUCAUUCUCCCUCCUCCCCCUCCCCUCUCUGCAUUAUCUCAGCCCCGACAACCCUCUCUCCCCCCCCCUCCAUUAUGACUGUAUAUCGAUCUUAACAACAUCCCCCUGUUGCUCCUUCAAAACCUUCUCCUCACCUACACCUCCUGCCUUUGUGUAUCUUUUGGCCCUCUUUCAUAGCCUCCUGUUUGUUAUUUAAAACCUUUUUCUCAGACUCGUGUGCCUCUCUGCCUCCGACUCUACCCAGCUCUUUUAAUGUAUUGUCCACAUUCUUUAUCCCUCCUCAUAUCUCGAGUCUCUCUCAUCUUUCUUGCUCUCUCUCGCCACCCCUCCUCUCUCCCUCUCCCCUUCUCCGUCCCCCUCGUCUCUCAAUCUUGCUCUCUCCCCAUCCCUCCCUUUGCCUUCAUCUCUUUCUUCAUCUCCCUCAUCUCUCUCUCUCUUCCCAGCCCUCUUUAAUUCUCUCUCUCUCUCUCUCUCUCUCUCUCUCUCUCUCUCUCUCUCUCUCUCUCUCUCUCUCUCUCUCUCUCUCUCUCUCUCUCUCUCUCCAGUUACGACCGCAGCUGCUCCCAGCAUCCGCCCCCGCUCUCCCGCGCCGCGGCCCCUCCCCUCACCCUGGCGCUCCCUCGCUCCCUGGCUCCCGAGGACAGCCGGCAGACCCUCCACAGCCCCCCCUUCACCGACCGCGAGAGGAUCCCCGUCGUAAACCUCUGAGGUGACUGUUCUUCCCCCCCCCCCAUUUGAUAAACACUUCUGUGGGGCCUGCGGAGAGCCAUCAACAAGACCAGAGGUUGUGCCCGUGGCGCCAUUUUGUUCUUCCUUGAGACUGUGAAAUGAAAUCAGGGAUUCCAGGUACCCAAUUGUUGCGAAGCAUCCCGGCUUUUCCCUGAGGUGUUAAAGAAAAAAAAUAAAAGAGACAAGCUCAUCUUCCUGCUCCUCGCUUUCUUCCUUCCACUCCCCGGCUCGCCCUGGCUCUCCGGCGCUGGGUGUGAAUCUCUCUCGUCCCCCCCCUUGGUUUUAAUGCCUCUGUAGCAGGAUCACUGGCUCCUAGCCGCUACUGCCGCGAGCUGCACCUGACCAACCAACUGCUUCAAACCGCCGUGGCUAAUUCAAAAACAAGCCUGUCGUCUCCCACCCUCCAAGGCGACACCUUGCCCCAGCUUCCACGUUUGCGGGGGAUACAAUUGCACAUCUGUCGUCUCUGCCCGCAAAAACAAAAAUAAAGACGCUAGAGCCGUUGAAUCCAGCAAAUCCCAGCUUUCUUUUUGGAUGAAACCGCACAUUACAAACGCACAGUAGUGAUGGAUAUUGUCGGUUGGUAAACGGUUAAUGAAAGCCAUUCUCUGGCAUUCUCCUAAGACUGAAGAGGGAGGGGGAAUGGUUUAUCACAAAGCUGUAGCCGGCAGGCAACGUGUUUACCAUGUCACGCUCCAGAAACCGCUGUUCAUUCCUGCUUUGGGCGCUACGAAAAAAAUUCAAAUACCACGGCUUUUCCCCCCCCUCCACAACCACGUUGGCAAAGAGAAGGCCGUUUUGUCUCGCGGGUUAUUUUUUUCCCCUUCAUGAUUUGUUCUCUUAAUUAUCUGGAUGAUGUAGUGUCAUGUUUUUGUUGGGCCUUCGCGGGCAUCCUGGUCUCUGCUGGACCCACGAGGACGGGUUCUUCAACACAGUAUUUCUUCCAGAGGUGGUGGGGUUAUCAGACGACACACACACACACACAUACACACAUACACACACACAGAAAGGGCAUUGCUGUUACAAUCAAUAUUUUAAAGCUGGUUCAAGUCUGGUUUAUAUGGUGUUGCCGUGAAAAGUAUAUAAAUGUCAUUACGUAGAGAAUCGAACUAUAAAUAAAGAUGAGUCAAACGUGCCGAGUAUUGCAAACUGAUGUUAAACAUUUUAGCUAUCUCAGUUCACUGAACUGUUCAAAUAAUGACAUCAUGGUGAUUGCCAUCAUCAUCAGUACCAAUCAUCCAAUGGCUGCCGAUCUGGGUGAGAUGAUCGAUGACAGAUUGAUGACAGAUUUGCAGUGCACAUGAAGGAACGCCACUUCCAGCCCUGUAGGCCUACAAGGGUUUUGCAUGUGUACGGUAAAACAACAACUAUAUAUCAACAUUGCAUUUGCAUAGAGUAAACGUAUUAAUACAUGUAUGUUUUUAUAUAUCAGUGAGUACUAUCUUCCGGAAUACUUCAACAACCAAAUUAGGUUGGUUCUUAUUUUUUUCGAAGCAGCUCUGAGGAAAUACCUCCCACUCCACCUCUCUCGACAAUUUUUUAACAAAACCUCAAACACAAACACAUAGUGCUGGUGAUCACGUUGCGAGUCUUGCAGUAAACCAGUGUCUUGUGGUUUUUAGUAGCAUUCCUGUAGGCAUCCAGCCUGUCUGUACUGUUAAAAAUCAACAAUAAAAAGGCAUAACUCUUGUGUUCA